rnacentral:snRNA from 1 species
CAUCAAACUUGUCCAAAGAA